UCAACGGUUGGAUUUGGAGAAAUAAAUUGUUGAAGUAAGCUAUUUGGAUUGGAAUUUUGGGUUUUUGGGCUGCAGAAAUUUGAGGAAAAUAAAUAGUUGGGAUACUUAUAAAAUUAUUAAAUUUGGUAAAGAUGAUCUUUAGGAUGUUGGGGCUGUUUUGGUAAAAUUUGGUAAAUUUUAAACUUGUGAUUUGUAAGAUAUAAAUUAUUUUUUAUGAGUUGUAUGAGCAAGAGCUAUUAUGAAAAAUUCAGAAUUUGAAGAGUUGGAUAAAUACGUUGAUAUCUUAUGAUGUAGUGACAAUUUUAGGCUAAAAGUUUUACUGAUGUUGUAUUGGGAUGUCUUGAAUAAAUGGUUAAAAUUUGGGAUUUAUCUGACAAUUGGAUUAUUAUAUAUAAAUUUGAAUGCACA
rnacentral:misc_RNA from 1 species